CGGGAUAGCGGCAGCCUACACAUGCAGUCGAGCGGUAGCACAGAGAGCUUGCUCUCGGGUGACGAGCGGCGGACGGGUGAGUAAUGUCUGGGAAACUGCCUGAUGGAGGGGGAUAACUACUGGAAACGGUAGCUAAUACCGCAUAAUGUCGCAAGACCAAAGUGGGGGACCUUCGGGCCUCAUGCCAUCAGAUGUGCCCAGAUGGGAUUAGCUAGUAGGUGGGGUAACGGCUCACCUAGGCGACGAUCCCUAGCUGGUCUGAGAGGAUGACCAGCCACACUGGAACUGAGACACGGUCCAGACUCCUACGGGAGGCAGCAGUGGGGAAUAUUGCACAAUGGGCGCAAGCCUGAUGCAGCCAUGCCGCGUGUGUGAAGAAGGCCUUCGGGUUGUAAAGCACUUUCAGCGGGGAGGAAGGCGGUGAGGUUAAUAACCUUGUCGAUUGACGUUACCCGCAGAAGAAGCACCGGCUAACUCCGUGCCAGCAGCCGCGGUAAUACGGAGGGUGCAAGCGUUAA
rnacentral:rRNA from 1 species